GUAAUACCUCAUAUUGUGCUGGUAAAACCUGAAGAUUAAAGACAACGGUAGAAUGAAGAAUCGUCUUGUUCUUGUAGCAGUAACGUAUUUACUGAUAAACUGGACCGCUGCAGCACCAGCAGCAGAUUUAGUAUGUCAUUAUAAUGGCGCCGAUCAUGUGGUAGGAGACAGUUUCAAAUCUACUGAUGGCUGUAACCAAUGUGGAUGUGGUCGAGGUGGUUUUGUAUUCUGUACUGAAAUGGCCUGUAUUAAGAACUACUGUAGUUAUGGCGGUAUCAAUUAUAUGGAUGGUCAGGGUUUUAAAUCAAGUGAUGGCUGUAAUAGUUGCGGCUGCAGUAAUGGAAUGGUGGUGUGCACGCAGCGCUUUUGUCAGCGUCUGGAUAUAAGUUCUUAAAGCUGUGAAUAUAAAACAGUUUUGUGU